CUCUGGGGAGACAGAAACAAAAAGCAGACAUCUAGUCCCCUGCUCCCCAGGAGUUUACAUUCUACUGGACCACUCAGUUUGAUCUGUGCCGUGUGGGAAAGCCGGAGGGGCUGCUGCGGAGGUUCUGAUAAUAGCUUGGAUGAAGGUGACUCAUUGCCAGAUUUCUACUGCCCUCUCUUCUUCCCCAUGAAAUGCAGGCUCCUGGGAGCCAGAAAAGAAGACUCGGGCACUUAAGGGAAAAUUGAGGCCUGUACCAGGGACCUGCUGUGCUGAACCUUGACCAUUCUGGAAUUGUACAUGCCUCUCAUCUCUGAGGAGAGCCAGAGAUGUUUAUUGUGUUUGAGAAUUCUCACCAACUGGUCCCUAACCCAUGAUUCCACAGGAAAGAGGUGGGGUUGUCUGCAGGAAAGCCCAGGAAGAGGAAACCAAACCACAGCUUUGGAUGGAAACUAAAGGUCAGCGACUUAGCCCCUGGAUAGCCGGAGAUCUCUCUUACAGUUUGUUUUUCUCAUGUUAGGUUAUUGGGGAAAGCAUGGGGAAGGUGAGGACAGAAUGAAGAAGGAGGUUAAAAGGCAAGGAAAGAGGAUUGAAGGGAAAGGAUUGACAGUGGCUUUAAAAUGAAUAGGAUUAUAGAAUUUUGAGCUGUAAGGGACCCUAGGGACCACCCAAUCCAACCUUUUUAUCUUACAUAUGAGGAAGCUGUGACCCAGAGAGGGGGAAAUGACCUUCCCAAGGUCACCCAGAAAUUAAGCUGCAGAGAACCAGGUCUUGUGGUACCAGAUGUGAUGCUCUUUCUCCUGCCUUAAUGGUGUCUGACUGACAGUGACUAGGGAGAGGCCAAGGUCAUUAUGAAAUUUGUUUUGAUUAUUAAUGUGAACAAUGACAAGCAUUAUUAAUAAUCA